GACGUAGGGCGCGAGCGUUGUCCGGAUUUAUUGGGCGUAAAGAGCUCGUAGGCGGCUUGUCGCGUCGUUCGUGAAAGUUCCACGGCUCAACUGUGGGCUUGCGGGCGAUGACGGGCGGCUGGAGUUCGGUAGGGGAGACUGGAAGUUCCUGGUGUAGCGGUGAAAUGCGCAGAUAUCAGGAGGAACACCGGUGGCGAAGGCGGGUCUCUGGGCCGAUACUGACGUGAGGAGCGAAAGCGUGGGGAGCGAACAGG
rnacentral:rRNA from 1 species